UCUUUAGUUAUAUGUGGAGGUUUAGAAGACACUGGUAUCUGACAGAAACCCUGGGGAGCAUGCAGGAUUCAUCUCCCAUUUCUGCUGAAGCUGGUGACCAAACUUGCAGUGGAUGAAAUGGAAGCAAGCUCAGGUGGUCAUCCUGUGAAAUCCUCUGGUCUAAUACAUCUGGGAAGGCUGUAAACACACAGGAGAAAGUCUGAGGAGUCUGCUAACUGUUCAAGUAAUUAUUUAUCACCGAUGGUGUCUUCAGCACCAAUCCCAGCACAGCCAUUAUGGAGCGUCCAGGAACAAAGGAAUUGCACAGAUUUUCUUUAGAAGAUGAAGAGAUUCUGGGAAAAUUAAUUGCCUGCUUCUGCAUUUGUUCAGUCUUCUCUUAUGGCUGGACUCUGUGAUGGCUGGAGAGAUACUGAAAGGAUGAUGUCAGACGAAUGGGAAAUGAAAGCUGAAGGUGCAGAUGUGCUAGUGCAUAGAAGGGCCAGAACAAACACCAUUUGCAAUUCAAGUGCCUUUAGACCCUAGAUGAGACUGUCUUGUAACUGCUUCCACGGUGUUAUGUAGCUUGGUUAAAGGUAAGAAUUAUCCCUCUGGUCUGAUGCUUGCCUGUGACUAUGGAAGACAUGACUGUAAGCUCUCACUAAGGAAAAUGUCAGCUCUCCUCAAGGCAACAGAGGCACACAUUGACAUCAAACCACUGAUAUGGCACCAAAUCAGACCGGACUCUUGGACUUGGCCAUCACAUAGUCCUGGUCUCAUCUGAGAAAGUAAGACAUUAAAAUAUCUGGGGUUUGCUUAUAAAAUCACCACCUCAGGGGGUCAAGAAAACCUCUUCCCUCUUCCUUGUGACCAGCCACAGUUGUGCUGUCUGUAUGUGAAGCCUGGGCUGCCAACAGGGACAGACACAAUGCAUAGGAGCUGCAAGGUUGAGCUUUGCAUGCAGCAGAUGUUCAUGUAGGUUAGUUUCUUUUGCAGGACCAAGUUCCCAAGGUUGUCCAUAAGCUAUGUUUCCCUGAUGGUCAGCAGCAUUCCAGACACACCUCAUGCUUUCUGGGCUCUUAGUCUUCUUCUUUUCAAACUGACAUUUGAUCAUUAAAACCAGCAGGUAGUACAGACAUACCAUAUAUUUAUUUUCUGGAGAAAUUAACUUUUACAUCCAUAGCUCCACCAUCCUCUUGUUCUGUCACCUGUUACUGCAGUUCCCUUGGCUCUAGUGCCAUCUGCAUCCAGUCCCAUACAGCAUAUCAAUUUUUUCACUAUUUGAACUCAUCAUCCCUUUUCUGAAACCACAGGAUCAGUUAAGGUAUUUGAAUCACACCUUACAAUAUUUACUUCCAUUUAUUGUCAGGGGACAGGAAGAGGGUUGUUAUAAAAAUAAAUUGUAUUCAUUGUCUGUCCUCAGCUGAGGAUCUUUGAUAUUUUUGUACUGGUGCAGCUCAAGCAUAAACAGGAUUGCCAGAUAAUUGCCAGGAUCAGAUGCGGCAAGUUACCAUUUGAGAAGUCCCUUGCCAUGUGUUUUACUUUCUUCACCCAAACAUUUCAAAUGCAGCAGGAAAAGGUUGAGCUUGUUGCCCUUCUCAAAGUCAGCCAUUUUUUCUUUGCCAUCCAAAGGAGAAAUUGCAAAGGUUUUAACAUGAAUUUAAGAAAAACACAGGACUGAAUUGUUGAAGUUAAAAACUGUCAAAAAUAGCUGGGCAUUUAUUUCAAGGGGAAGUUCUGUAAUAUUGAACUUACUUAUAGGAGGUUAGUAUCAAACUCAUAAAAGGGAGUCCAGGGCUUCUCCAAGCAUCCCUGGUGCAUCAGAUGAGGUGAAGGGGAAACAAACAGUUGUUUCUGCAGCAGUAGCUAAUGUGUGAUUUAGUAGCACAGUUUUUAAUAUAAGAUCUGCAUGACACACAGAGUAUUUAAUGAUGAUUCAGAGGCCACCAUGGACCAAAAGGUCACUGAUAAGUAAUCCAAAUUCCCAUUAAUAUUUUACAAUCCCUGCUCUUAGCAGACUGGAUGUGUCUUCUUUGGGUUUGUACAGUCACUAACACAAUGGCUUCUUUUGCCUGUCUGUUGCACUUCUUGUUGUUUGUGACUGGUACUUGUUCAAUACUAUCCCUAAAAAAUUAUAGAAAAUAGAAACACUCGAUAAAAAAGUGAUUGAUGAACAUUGAUAAAAGUGACCUUUCUUGUGAUUUCCACCUGUACAUGGGGACUUUCAGCAGUACCUGGCAUCCUCUGUGAGUACUAUUUGAUGGGAGUUCUCAUGAUAGCUUCACAAGAGGCAAAGGGACGCCAUUCAGUCAGCCACAAAGUUUGUCAUUGCCAUGUUGUACAGGAACGGAAGGAUCUGCAUUUCACACACAGAACAACAUGCUCUCCCCAGGAGACACCACCAGGCCCUGGGUCUGCCACUGGCCUUGUAUGUACACAGGGAGGGGAAGGGACAUGGGGUCACCCCCUGCUCCUGUGCUUUCCUCAUGCUCCUGACAUGCUGGAAAAAGCAAAAGCAUCUCCCUCUCUCUCACCUCUAGCUCUGUUUUUCUGCUCCAUCAUCCGAGGAAUAGACUUACGAGGUGAAUGGAGAAUGACCUCAGCCUUAUGCUUGGGCAGGUGUGAUGUUGGAGAUGGAUUUUGUAACCAGCAGUGACCUGGGAGAUCAACCAAGCUCUGUGUAGGCCAAGCUGGUACUAAUCCACACUAAACUGUCUAAGGCACAGUUACAUUUCAGGAUGCACUGUCUGAGCCAGCCAUAUUACACAUGUUGCAUGCUCAUGUUUCUCCUGCUCCUGCUGCAGAGCCAGCCUGUGUCCCUGUGGCUCCAACCCAAAGGAGGCAAGAAGUGUGCUUUCCUUCUUCCACCCUGCCUGGUUGUCGUAGGGGAUUCCUGCAUUGGCCUGUGUUGGCAGCCUUGUGAUUCUUGUGGUGUAAGAGGGCUGGGAGCUUUACUGGGAAGAUUAAUGUAAGGUAUAAGCUCACUUUGGCUGGGUCACUUUGGAAUAUUAAUGAGUGUUAAGGUCAGAAUAUUAAUAGUGGCAGCUUUGCAAGUGUGCUGCUUGUAAUUCAUGAUGAAUGUGCUGAAGAACAGCACCAUACUUCCAUUUUCUACUGGAGAUAUUCCAUUUUCUGUCUAUUACUUCACCAUGGAGGGGGAAGUUUGUCAUGACUGGGAAUGGGAAUGUGCACUGUUCUUCCCUGCUCAGGAAGGGCAUACAAGCAUUGAACAUCUCUGAAUUGUUUGCAUUUAGUAGAUCCAAAAAGUUUUCAAAUCAAAUAACAACUAACUUUUUCUUCUCUAAGAAUAAAAAGAUUGUUUUAGUUAAUGUGGCAAUGAAUAAUAGCUUUUUUGCAGUUAUAGUUGCUGCUUCUGUUUAAUUUCUCUGGGAUGACUAAUUGUUUUAUGAGCUGUAUUCCCAGAGCAAAACAAACAGACAAACAAGCAGCUCCCCUCUGUUUCAUUCCCUAAAGCUUAAACCAGCCCAAAUAAGGACAAAAUAGAUUUUGCCAUCUGUAACUGUAAGUUUCCUCUUCCACUAGACUUUUGCUUGAAGCAGAUAAGAUUUUCUUUGCAUUAGCAAUUAGGGCACUAUCUCUUUUAGCACAGAUCUGAAUCAGCCAUCAUCCUAAGCCAAGAUCAGAGAUAUAGGUAGUGAGAUGCAAGUUCAACAAAGUAGAAAUUCUAGUUCAAGGAGAUGUUUAUGAAUUCAGAUUUUAUUUAUUAAAUUAGAAGGAAGAAUUCUCUCAGGAUCCAGCAGUCUCCAGUGAAAAUGUGUUCAAGUAAUUUUAUUGGUCUAGAAGAUUUCUUUCCCUUGGGCAUUACUAUAAGCAAAGCAGACUAACAAAAAUACCUUGUUUUAUAAGGAUGCAUAAGUUGUUCUAUUGGUGUCUGCUUUCGUAGCAGGAUGCAUACUCAUAAUUUGUGACACAAAAGUCUGUGUCCCUGAAGAACUUCUCUUUAGUCCAUAAAGCCUAGCAUUUCCUUCCUUGUGGCGGUGGCCUAGUGUCCUAAAUUUGUUUUCUCUCCUUUGCCGUGUUUUCCAGACACUGCAGCUCAGAAAGGUGCUAUUGCAGCAUGAUCAACCAGCAGCAGGUACUGGGGUCCCGGGGAGAUGGCAGGUGAUUGAGCAGAGCAUUUUCCCAGAGCAGACAGAGGAGUUACCUGCCUGCCUGGCAUAAUCCUCACAUGCCAAUAAGCCACAGGUCUUGUGGUGGAAGUGUUGGCAGACAGACAAAAGAAGGUCCCACUCAAAGUUUCUUCUCUCUCUUGUGUUCCUGCCUGAGAGGUGAUGCCAGUCAGUGAAUUCAAGUUGGGUGGGAUUUAUGCCACAGAACUCAUUUUUUUUACUUGUAAAAUGGUUAUCCUGUUGUUGGAGUGGGGCAAGGGUAUCUUCAGGAGGAUCUGGAUCAUCAGGCUCAAGCCUCUUACCUGUGUCACAAGUUAUUGAAGUGCCUAGCUCUCUGCUGUUUAAAGAGGGGUCAGAGACAAUGAGACACCUGAAUUUUAGAUGGACAGACGUAGGGAAAUGAGUUCUGACAUGGUGAUAAGCUGCUUUCAUGUCAACCACGCUGCUAUUUUGGAAUAAAACUUUCAGAUUUCUGGGACAUUUAUGCAGUGGUAAGCAGCAAUUUUAAGGAGUUUGUGGCCUGGUUAAAGAAUCCAUGUAAUUCUCUUUGUUUUAUUCCAUUUCUUUCUGCUUUUCCUGAUAGUCAGUGACAGCAAUUUCCCAAGUGCUUUCAGUGUGGAAGCACAAUGAUGCUAAACCUCAUCAGCCUGCUGCAAAUACAUUGAUAUUCAUGCGGUGACUCCAGAGCUGCAUUCCUGAGGAGGGUGAGACUAAAGCCAGCAGACAAUUCUUCAAGAGUUGUUUCUGCAGCAGCCUAUAUAGGGACCCAUGUUGGGAGCUGGGACAAGCUAAAAAAAAAUGUACAGAAAGCACAGUUGGGGAAAAUUUUGGGUUGUGCAGUUGGGUUGUGCUGUCUUACUGGGGGAGAUCUGUGUGCCCCUUCUUUUUGUGCCCUGGAAGGAUUUGGACUUUCUCAAAAGAAAAAAGUAUUUCACAGUGAUGCUUCAAGGUGACUUAACAAUGUUGGGAUGAAUUAACUAAUGUGAAUAUUGCUGAAAAAUCCCUAGCAUUAGGGAAUUAGCUACUUUCUGAAAUGAACAAUGCAACUUUUGUAUUCAUGGACUUCAGGGCUGCUCCAUUGCUCUGCUCACUAUGAGUAUCCCAUUUACACUUCUAGUUAGUUGAAUUGAGAAGGAAUAUGGGUACCAUACUCUGGGUGGCUGUAUGAUCAGAAGAAGGAAAGGUAUAUGGAGAAUGUUGAGGAUUAUCAGCAACUUCCUGAAAUUUCUGCAUGUAAGAAAUGCUGCUAUUUCCAGAGGGAUAAAGUAUCUUGGUUUUAAUCAGGGAAACAAGGAACAAUAUGAGAGUUCCAGGGCUUUUCAGAGAGGAGCCAUGACAAGAGUUUAUCUCUGCUCUACCUGUGACAGAGGGAGCAAUAUAAGAAAGUCAAAAACCCCAAAACCCAGAAUGCAGUGAUGAUGAGACUGUAUGAUGUCUGUCACUGGCAUAGCCCUGUGUGAAAGCAGAAGGAUAUUCAUCUCAAUGAUAUUAAUCCAUUUCUAGUGUGCAUGAGGAUGCAUUACCCCUGUAUCUCAGUAAAGUUGUUUGCAGAUUAAAGAACUGUAAAAAGGAAGAUGAUUUUUGAUAAAAAAGUGAUGAACCAGUAGAAGUUUAAAAUGAUAGACCACAUAUCAUCCUGCAACAGAUAUGUGGUGUAGGCAAGCCUUAGGUCAAAGAUAGCGAGCAGAGAAGCAGCACAACUAUCCAUGCAUAAGUGAUAAGAGAGGCCAAUGUUUUCACAUAUGGAAAUCUCCAGAAGUACUAAAUGAGGUGCCUGGAAAAAUCUACAGAUUUAUGAAUAUUAUUAGCUGUGAACUUUAAUUACACUGACAUUUAAAAUGAACAGAAAUGGCACUUUAAUUGCACUGUAGCCACAUUUUUAUUGCAUACAUUUAAAUACAUUAGAAAGAGGUUGGAUCUGUACUGUGCUGUAUGGGACCAGUUCAGGCAAUUUGAUAUUAAAAACACAGAAAAUAAAGGAGAUUGCAGAGCUGCACCUCAGCUAAGAAAACUGGUUCAGUAGUUCUCUCACAGUAUCACAGAGGAGCAAAAAGAAAUCUUCUCCAAGAUUUUUAUGUUCUCCAAGGAAUUCCAGGCACUGGAUUCUAAAGUCUGCUUGGAUAAAAGUGCUUGUGGGCUUCAGAUAGAUGGCCUUCUCUGUGAUGCGAUUUUCAAAACAGACAGAGGUUUCUCAAGUACAACUUUGCAUAAUCCUGCCCUUGGUAUAGGAAGGGUCUCACACCAGCCUCCAAAGUAUCUGAGACAGCCAUCCUUGGAAGUAAUGGGCAGGGUGAGAUGGGUGGCACUUCCUAUCCAGUUUGGGAAGACUAUGUUGAAUUUGCAGAUCUGAGGAUCUGACAUUGGCUAUUUGUGAUGCUAUAGUAUAAACCAAACUCCAUCUGCAUUUUAAGUUUUUGGUUGAGAAUGCUGAUAUAUGGAGGUCUGACACUGCACUUCUCCCUUCCAUCCUUCUUUCUUCCUGUUUGUGAAAAGUUGUUAGCAGGAAAUUUUAAAAAAAGUUCUGCUGUUUGAUGGACCCUUAGAAGAUAUGUUCUGUUAGUGGUUCAGGCACUGAAGAACUUUAUUCAAUUCUUUAGUUUCUAACUGUCUCUGGGCAAAUGACUCCAUCUCAGUGGUCUCUACUCAGCUGUGCAGCAUUAAUGAUUUCAGAGUGGAAAUAGAUUUCAGCUCUUCAGCUGUAAAGCCAUACUAGUCCUUUAAACAUAAACAUUAUUUGUGAUCAGAUAUACUGACAGGUUGGAAUACAUAAAACUUGCUUGCAUAAAACUUUUAAUGGAAACCACAGGUUUGUGCAGUUUCUGUGCUACAGGCUAAGACUUUGAGAGUUUGAAAUGCAUUAUUACAGACUCCUCUGGGAACUGCAGCAUUUUGUCCCCUGUCCUAAACAUCUGUCUGAUGCCUUGAAUACACAAACCUUAAUUCUGCUCUCAUAUUUGAUAGCAGUACAAAUGUCACUGCUCCUUUCAUUGAGUAAGCAAUCAUGCUGAUAGUGCAGAUAUUAGGUGCUGACAUGCAUAUAUCAUAUGAUGAGCAGGUGGGAAAGUAUCUGAAAUAAGUGCAUGGGUGGUCUCCUAGAAAAAUAAAUUGUCAAUUUAAUUUUAAGUUUGGAAAUAUUUAUGUAGGAGACAUUCUGACUCUUUAAAAGAUCCCUUCCUUGGAUAUUUCUUUCUGUUUUGUGUUUUCACUGUUUACUUAAGCAAGUUGUUGUUAUGCCCUGCUGUGGUUUUGCUUUAAGAUCCCUUUUCAGUGGCUUAGGUUUGAGAGCCCCCCGUUUCAAAAAUACACUUCCUUACCCCACAGGUGUGAUCUGCAUUCUUAAUUUCCAAAGAUGCUUGUAAUUUGUGUUUCGCCGUAUUAAAAUUCCUACUUGACAGAUGAAUCAAUUUUACAAAAUUAUCUAGAUCUCUUUGUAUCAUUGACUUUUUGUUUCUUUGAUGACUUUUUGUACAACCUAUGAAUGUUACUGGUCAUGACUUUAGAUUUUCUUAUAGAUUAAACUACCAGCAACUAUUACACGCUCUAAAGAGAUGCUAUAAUUGUUCUAUAAAUCUGUCCUAUGUUCCCACUGAUGACUUGGAUGAUGCAUAUGAACCUGUGAGGAACUGCUAACAUGCUGAAAGAAAGGACUAGAAAUUUAUAGCAGUCUUCCCAAAUGAGAGGCCUGGUCUGAAAAUAAAGAGGGUCAGUUUCAAAAAGUAAAAAUUCAAGGCAGUACAGUCAGGUAGAAGUACCCCUGUACAUGAAUAUCUAAUGGAGAAUACUUGGUUUUCAGCAAAUCUGCAGAAAAGACUGGAGUUUUCCAUGAAUUGCAGGUUCAACACGAGGCAACUCUGUCUAUAUGAUGAAAAAAGAAAGAGGUAAGUGUUACAGUGGGGAAUAUAGAAAUCUGUUUAGCCUGCAGCACAGAUUAAAUAUUCCUGCUGCUCUGGUUGGCACUGGAAGGGCCUCUGCUGCAGCUCUAAGAUUGAUUUUAGAUGCUGCACUUCAAAGCAAAUGGAAUCAGCUGGAGGGAACCCAUAGGAGAACACCACUGCUGACACAUCUCAAAAACAUGGGCUCCACCGGAGGACUGAAAUAACUGGGUCAACAGAGUGUACAGAAGGAAGGGCUUAUACAGACUUCAAAUUUGUUAAAGUCUCUUUGAAAAGAAAAACUUCCUUGCCAUGUCUGUAGGACAGGAAGUGCACAGCUUAACUUGCAGUUACUGGAGGCUUUAAUAUAUGGGUUUAACUAGCCCUUGUGGGGCUGGAAAAUGUACAAUUGACUCUUCCUUGGGACAAAGGUGAUUUGGAUAAACUACCAAGUUCCUCCUGGUCCUCUUUUACAAUAGUGCAAAUACUAACAUACAGUUCUGUCGUUGAUCUCUUUUGCUGUAUUUGCCAUAAAACUUUAUAUUUGCCAUUUGUGUUUUGGAAUCACAAAUGCCUUUGAAAAAUGUCAUUGGAUUCUGGCUCCAUAUUUACUAUUGCUUUUCAAAUCCAUCUAAUGUGUGCUACUCUGAGGAGCACAAGUAAGCUACUCUGAGUAAGCAGGAGUGCUUACACAUGUGUUGACUCUACACCACAUGCUAUGGUUGGCUGAAAGUACAGUAAGUUCCUUUGGCUUUGAGGCCACUAUUCUGGGGCCCUGCCAGCGUGUUUUACAGAUGUACAUUUCAUUUCUCUCAUGCUCUAGCUUUGACCCCAAGUUUCUACUGAGCAAGGUGCUAAUGUAUGCUAAUAUAUGCAUGCACCUCAAACACCUUGAACAAAACCAGUACUUCCUGAACUGUUUUGUGCUAGGUACUUUUUUUUUUUCAGCUGGCUUAAUUUGCUAUAUUUACAUGGUAAGCUAUGUGGUAUGUGGAUUUCAUGAGGCCAAGUUCACUUCUCUUUUGCAUGUCUGAGUGUGCUUUUUCAAAGUAGCAAUUGCAUGAAUGCAAAUGACUUGCUCUUGCUACAUCAUUCUGGGACUUGUGAAAUCCUGCAUACAGAUUUCUACAAGUAGAGGCACCUGGGCACAGGGAGAUGGGGAAAGUGGGAUACCCCAGCUGAAGAAAACACCCAGAGAGUCUCAGAGCUGAGAUAGUUUCUUGGUAUUUCUAGAGCAGCUGCUUCCCAAAAGACUAAUUUGCCCUGCAGAUGCCUGGCUCCGGAAGCACUGAAGCUAUAUCGCUCUGGCCACAUGCAAAAGGUGCCAGUGGCCACCAAAUAUGAUUUGGUAUCUGUGUUCCUGUGACUUGCCCAAAUCCAAAAUGGAUCAUGGCCUGUAGUUUGCUCCCAUACUGACUGUGCUUUACCAGUCAUUGUUGCUCCUGAGGUGCAAUGGCAGGAAGCAUCAGGUAGGACAGGAGCAUGUCAGGGGCUCCUGUACCAGCUUCUUACUUAUUUGAACCCCUGUGAUGUUUGCCAGCUCCUCUGGAGUGAGUUGUUUCAGGUGUGCCUGUUAAAUUGGCAGUGACUGACACUUAUUGCCAGCACCCAGGGAUUCCCUGUCAUUUGAGAACUACUGGGACCUGUCUAAUAAUCACACUUUUCACAUGCACCUUCUCGUCCAAACCUUCCUUCAGCUGCUGUUGUCUAAUGUGAUCAAAGCCUUUACCCAUCACAUACUCCCUCUACACUUUGUUGCUGGUGAGGUCUGAUGAAUCACCCUCAUUAUUAUUCUGAGCCUGCAGGUCACUCAGACACAACACAGUGCCCACACAAUGGUGACAACUGAAUUAUAACAACUUCUCAGUUUCCUUUGCAGCACAGAUACAAUAUUUAUGACACUAUUAAUGCACAGCGCUGUCAAGAUUUUUAAAAUGAGAGUAACUCACCUGCCCCUGUCAUACACUCAUGUCCUCCAUGUUUCAGAAGUGUCAGGAGAAUCCUUAUAAAUUUUUCUGUCUUAAUAGUCUUCUGCCAUGAAGCCUGAGUCAAAAAUGGCAGGUUGUUCCAUGCAAAUUCUGAUGGAUCUUUCUGUGGAGACAGCCAAGCAUAAAACUUUCAACUGUGUUGCUAAAGCAAGUGACUUAGCCUUGAGGCCAUGGGGAUGUAUAAGCACUAUUUCCCCCUUAUCUCCUCAUUUAAAGCAGAAUUUAACUCCCAAAUAUCAUCAUAGAUUCAUCCCAUAAUCUUACAGGGCACUUGAUACUUCACAAAACCAAUACGUGACACCAAAUUCACACUCCUGAAUCAGAAGGACCAAAUUACGUUGCGGUCUUUAUGACAGGUUGGAUGUCAGUUGUCACCUUAGGGUCAGGCAUGGAGCUGGCAUCAGCGCUGCAGUUUUGUGCUCUGGCUACAUUAGCAGAAAUAUGACUAAUUGCCCUUGACUGUGUGUGAUCUGGAACAUAUUUGUCCUGCCAAGGGAGAGGAAAACACAGGUGCUUGGAAUGAAUGUGUAUAGCACCUCAACUUUAAGCUCCCACUCUACCUGGCUCUGAAGGGAAGAACUUGUACCUACAUCAGACACUCUCACAGUAACUUUGUGAAAAAUACUCAACUAUUUCCGGCCAUCAUUGCUCUUCCAGUGGAAGUUGCGGUAACCAGUGACUUGCCUGUGGACUUGUAUAUCCUUUAGGUACGUCUGGAUUGCUCUUUCACCUUCUUUAGCUGUGGGUUCAUACAAAACUCUAGGAAAGAGCCUGGAGAAAGCUGCAGAGGUAGGGAGCCAAUGUACAACUGGCCUUCCUCAUAAUUUCUCUUAAAAACUUGCCUUUGUUUUUGUAUUUGAAAAGCUGGUUAUUACAUUUCCCUCAUGUCUUUGCACUGACCUGAACAAAAAUUGAGGUCUAUUAUAGUCACUAAAUAAAUCUGGUCUGAGAGACCCCUGUGCUACUGGCAAAGAACAUUUCAUGGCACAGCCUUUCACUACCCUCCUCAGCUCAUCUCUUUUAAAAUGACAAAACCUGCAUUUAGAAGAAGUAAAUUUACAGUGGCUUUUCUGUGCAGAUGGUGGUAAGCGUGAGUUAGCAUUUGUAAGAUUAUAAGCACAUAUGGUUUUGUACAUAUCAAUUAAGGCAGUUGGCUAAUCACUCUAAUAUCAUUACUGAUUCAUCUGUAUUCCUUCAAAUAGACAUUUAUGCUCAGCCUGCUGUUUUUCAUACGUAUGGACUGGAUUGUACAAUUCUCCCUGUCACCAUUUGUAGUCAACAACAUUUCCUUGGCACCAAAGGGAGGAAAAGGGUACAUUUUAGAACUGUGUGGGCAAGUCAUUUGGCCCAUGCCUUAUGUAUAAGGCAUGCACAUAAAAUAUUUGUGCGUGUGUGGUUUCUUUUUAAAGAAUCUGCUAGUCAUGCUGUGGGCUGAGUGACAACAGCAUUAUGUUUGUGCACAUGGGACAUACAUGCAGAUUCAUGCAUGCACUCAUCCUGCUGUUAGAAAGCCUGUUGUGCAUGGCCAAGUAUCUUGACCCUAACCUGCCUCACCUCACAGCCCUGAUUUGGCUCACCACACUAUUCCAAGGUACCUGAGUCUCUGUUUGGACUUUGGGAGGUGCUUGAGAUUAAAAAAAAAAAAAAAACUAUGAGAGCUUUUGGAAGGUUUUAGAAACUGAAUUGCUUUUCCAGUGUUUGUGAUGAAAUGCUGGGGUCAUCCCCUGGUACAGGAAAUCUGCAGGACUGGAGGGCUGUGUGACCUGCAAGGCCAUCCACUGACCAGAACAGGUUUACCUCAUCUGCCCUGAUCUAAUCCAUAUGUUCUCAGAUCUCAUCAUCCUGCCAAAAAUAUGGUGCAUGCAGGCUGUAAAAUAACCACUCUUGACAAAGAUUUUAAAAAAGGGACUUGGGGAUUUUUCCAAACUUUAGGUUCAGGCAAAAAGUAGUCUACACAUAAUCACUCUAUGGGUUUUUUCUUCCUUCCUUUCACUUUUCAAAAGUUUAUGGUCCCUUUAAUUUAGCUUUAAUGAUGCAUAGUCUCACCAGGGAAGUGGUGGAUUCCCCAACAGGACACUUAAGAUUCAUGGGGACAUUGUGCUGGCCCAUCUUGUCUAGACCAUGCUUUUGCCAAGAAAGGUUGGACUUGAGGUCCCAUUCAACCUAUAAUGCCAGUUCAGAGUCAGGAACCCAUCCAUUUUAGAGAACACAGGAUUUUUGAGAGUGUCUUUGUCUUCAGAUUGCUUUUAAAAAUCAACAGUAUCUUUAGUCAAGAUUUUUUUAAAAUAAACUGUUUUUCUUCAAAAAUUAUUUCUGGUUUUGAUGCUGAACAAGUCACUAGCUAGGAAAAAGACCUGUAUGUUUUUAGAAGAAAAAAAUAAACUAAAAAGGAUAUAAAAUGAAUGACCUGUUCACUCUCCCAGAUGUGGUCCCAAGGAAAAAUUCUAUGUUAGUUCCUCACAAGAAUUUAUUUAUAGUUUUUUGCAAGCCAUGGUGUUAAAACUUCUAUGGAGUGGUGGCAGGCUGGUAUUUUUAGAACCCUGCCUAGAACCUGGUGAUUUCCCCAUAAUCCCCUGGCAACUGCAAAAUGGAAACUGUAGUUUAGCCAUAGCAAAGUGAGGAUGAAGGUGAUAGUCCUGCAAAUUUCCAGCACAGAGCUCUGCUUUUGGGUGGUUGUGGGUGAGUUUGCCUGUAAUGGAGCCCCCCUAGAGAGCCAGCAGUGUGAUGGAUGAACUUCAGCUCUCCUCAUCUCCCUUGGUACUCCAUCCUUAGUUGACUGUGGAAUUAACUAGACCUUUGUUGGGCUAGAGAGACCUGUGUCCUGCUGGUGCCAGGCAUUCCCAGUUCCCCCUGAUGAUAAUUGAAAUUGGGGGCACAAAGUGCUUUGGAGGUUGGGUACAGUGAAAACUUGGGCAAGGCUCCUGCCUGCACACAGACUUGCCCUGUGUAAAAACUAGACUUUGCUAGCAAAAGGGUCUUUUCAAAUGGCCUUUUUCAAAGGAAGUGAAUGGGAGGUGGGCAAAAGUUUUCAGUAGAAAACACUUCUGGUUUUGAGAAAAAACUUGAAAUACUUCAGAUCCCCCUUCUCCCCCACUUUGGCUGUGUUGUGUGAUCAUGGCUGCUAAGGUGGACCAUGGAUUCUCCAUGGGGCUGUCAUGAAACACCUGUCAAAAGAGGUUUUUGGUUGCUGAUUUUGCUGACACUAAAGUACAGGAACAUGAGGAAACUGGACUGUGUACAAAACAUCUCUUCUCAAUCAAAACACCCUAGUUGUCAAUGUGUAAGAAUAGUGCACUUGCUUAUAAUAAUUUUUUGCUACACUAAAUUGAAAUCUCUGUAGAAAUCAGACAGUGGUUAAAUAUUUAAUAGAAAUUUAAUUCCAAGGGUUUUUCAUCAGAAAAUUGAUUUAAGUUCAUCCCAGAGCCAAUUUUGCUGUCUUGAUUAAAUGAGGCAGAGAGAGAGUAUUUGCUGGCUGCAGGCAUCUCUCUGGUCCCUCAUUUAGAGGUGUGUUUUUGGAGGGAGGAGACAUCUUUGCAGGCUUUGAUCACCCUAGCUACUUUGUGACACACAGCCGAGAGCAGCUGAGGCUGUUUAUUUUCCAUGCCUCUCCUCACUGGAGCGUUUUGGACAAGACUUUUAAAAAUCACAGCCUUGACAGCUCCUCAAGGCCAUCCUCUCCUGGUUUUCUCGUAUGUAAGCAUAGCUACUGAAACACUGGGCACUUCAUCCAAGGUAAAUGUCUAAGCCUCUCUCCAGUCAAUCAGAGAUGGGCACCUCUCAGAGAGGUGGUUCACUUGUCUUUUUAGGAGGGGAUAAUGGGAAGUGCCCCUGUUGCCAAGAGCAGGAGGCUGGUUUGUAGAUGGAUAACAACAAGUGAGAUAAAUCUCACCUGAAUUGGUCUGAAUUUUGAGCUCGUGCUUUAUUCUCACUAUAGCCCUCCCACUGACUUCUUAGACCCAAAGGCUGAUUGUAUUACCCUGGGGGAGGAGGUCUUUUUGUAGACACAUGGAAGAGGUCUGAGAAAUGCAAAUGCACCAUUAACAGCAAUAACUUAGCUCGCCUCACCCUCUUAAAAGCUGCAUCAUCUUCAGUGGGGGCUGAUGUAUUUGCCAAAAUUUUGGUAUUGCCAGAUAUUGAGAGUUUCAAUCUUGAAAUGUAACAUUUUCUUGACAGAGUAAUUUGUACAGAGCAGUGUACUGAAAAAGAACCUGCUCACUUGAAACUGAAUCUCACCCAUGCUUUGCUUUACUUCAAGUAAAAUUAGUCUGCAGGAGAAAUCCUGCAGUCAGGGGAUGGAGAACAAGAGGGUGCAUGACCUCUAUUGCAGUUUAAUUUUCAAAGGUGCGUCUCUUACAGUUAUAAAAUGCUUUUUGAUGUGCCAAGGAAUCCAGUCAGCCCACAGGCUGCCCCUCGUGAUUUGGUUCAUUGCAGCAACAUUUCUCUGCUUCCAUCUUCUGUCCAAUGACCAUCCCAUGGCCCCAUGGGACAAGGGUAGGCUAGCAGUGGUUGGAGGCUGGAGAAGCAUUUCUCACCUUACCAGGACUUCUCCCCAAAAUCUGUAGUCCCAGUGGGAAGGGUCCCUCUCCACCUCCAGCCUCCCUGAGUCCAUGAGGAGAUGUGGUGCCCAGUAGUCUGCCCUCCAUCACUGAAUUUUCAGGUAAGAUUACUCACACAGGGCGGCUCUGCCCUCCUGAAAUCCAGACAUUUGGAAAGGCUCCAAAACAGCCAUGAAUUGUCAUGAAAAGCUUUCAAAGAGAUGCUGUAUACUGACCUGAUGUCAUGGAUAAUAUAUAUUUCAUUUUAUGUUUGCUACACCUCAGGUAUCCACAGAAAAAACCCUGGGCUUUGUCCUCAUGGUUACCAAUAUGUCCACUGAAUCCCUCAAUAAAGUAGAGUACAGUGGUGCCAACUGGAAAUAUUAUACCUAAAUUUUAGGAGACCAGGCCAUUACCAUGCUCUGAUUUCAAUUACUUCCUCACUCUCCUCACAGGAAAAACAAUUUCUUCUGAGCUGAAACCUGGCUCAGAGGAUCUCUCACAGAGACUGAGUUUGAUAAUAUUCACUGCAGAUAUUUUUGACUUAGAGAAAUACAAUAUGAAAUGGAGCUUGGCAGGUUUGGAUUUCUUGGGGGAUGCUUUUAGACACUCACAAUUGGUUUGUCUUGGAAUAUUAGUUCUUUUGAAGAAUUGGAUUAUGGAUGUACAUCUUCUUUUAUUAGAGAAAGAACUAAAGACAUUAAUGAGAAAACAAUGAUUCUAUUAUAUUUUAGUAAUUUAUAUUUUAUAUGUAACAUUUUAUUCUCUAUUGUUACAUUACAUUCUAUACAAUCUAUUAUAUGCAUGGUAUAGUUUAUUAUAUAUUAUAUUUUAAAGAAUAUAUUAAAGUUAAUUUUCUUUUGCUUUAGAAAACAUAAUUUUUCUGGAAAACAAAAGCUGGGUUUGUGUAUUUUGCUGCAUUUAAGUUGUGAAAAGUACUAUUUCUGAUGACUCUGGACUGAAAUAAACUAUAUUGCUCAUAUAAA